AGAGUUUGAUCCUGGCUCAGAGUUAACGCUGGCAUCGUGCAUAACACAUGCAAGUCGAACGGGACUUUAAUUUGUAGCAAUACAGAUUAAAGUUUAGUGGCAGACGGGUGAGUAAUGUAUAAGUAACCAACCUUUAAGUGGGGAAUAACAAUCCGAAAGGGUUGCUAAUACCCCAUAACAUCUAGUAGCGGCAUCGUUAAUAGAUUAAAGAUUUAUCGCUUGAAGACGGACUUAUAUUCUAUCAGCUAGUUGGCAGUGUAACGGACUACCAAGGCGACGACGGAUAGCCGGCCUGAAAGGGCGACCGGCCACAAGGGCACUGAGACACGGGCCCUACUCCUACGGGAGGCAGCAGUGGGGAAUUUUGGACAAUGGGCGAAAGCCUGAUCCAGCAACGAUGCGUGGAGGAUGAAGGUUCUCGGAUUGUAAACUCCUUUUGAGAGGGAAGAAAAAAAUGACGGUACCUCUCGAAUAAGCCACGGCUAACUACGUGCCAGCAGCCGCGGUAAGACGUAGGUGGCAAGCGUUACUCGGAAUUACUAGGCGUAAAGCGCGCGUAGGCGGAAUGUUAAGUCUGUUGUGUAAUCUCUGGGCUCAACCCAGAAACUGCAACAGAAACUGGCGUUCUUGAGUGAGGCAGAGGAAAUCGGAAUUCCUAGUGUAGCAGUGAAAUGCGUAGAUAUUAGGAGGAACACCGGUGGCGAAGGCGGAUUUCUGGGCCUUUACUGACGCUAAAGUGCGAAAGCUAGGGGAGCAAACGGGAUUAGAUACCCCGGUAGUCCUAGCCGUAAACGAUGAUAACUAGGUGUGGGAGGUAUCGACCCCUUCCGUGCCGCCGCUAACGCAUUAAGUUAUCCGCCUGGGGAGUACGGCCGCAAGGUUAAAACUCAAAGGAAUUGACGGGGACCCGCACAAGAGGUGGAGUAUGUGGUUUAAUUCGACGCUACGCGAAAAACCUUACCUGGGCUCGAACGACUGGUGGUAAGACUUAUGAAAGUAGGUCUGACCCGCAAGGGAGCCAGCCGAGGUGCUGCAUGGUUGUCGUCAGCUCGUGUCGUGAGAUGUUGGGUUAAGUCCCGCAACG
rnacentral:rRNA from 1 species